GAUGAACGCUGGCGGCGUGCCUAAUACAUGCAAGUCGAGCGAACGGACGAGAAGCUUGCUUCUCUGAUGUUAGUGGCGGACGGGUGAGUAACACGUGGAUAACCUACCUAUAAGACUGGGAUAACUUCGGGAAACCGUAGCUAAUACCGGAUAAUAUUUUGAACCGCAUGGUUCAAAAGUGAAAGACGGUCUUGCUGUCACUUAUAGAUGGAUCCGCGCUGCAUUAGCUAGUUGGUAAGGUAACGGCUUACCAAGGCAACGAUGCAUAGCCGACCUGAGAGGGUGAUCGGCCACACUGGAACUGAGGCACGGUCCAGACUCCUACGGGAGGCAGCAGUAGGGAAUCUUCCGCAAAGGGCGAAAGCCUGACGGAGCAACGACGCGUGAGUGAUGAAGGUCUUCGGAUCGUAAAACUCUGUUAUUAGGGAAGAACAUAUGUGUAAGUAACUGUGCACAUCUUGACGGUACCUAAUCAGAAAGCCACGGCUAACUACGUG
rnacentral:rRNA from 1 species